AUGCCCCAUACCCCUAAUGCUCUUGAUUUCUUGUCAACUUUACCUGGUUGCGAACAAGAAAAUUACCAUUCGCAAGACCCUGUAAUGACGAUCGUAUCAGGGGAAGGCGCACAGAUGGACUGCAGCUUUGUCAAAGACACGUUUAUAGAUGCCACGGAUAUCAUGGUGAAACGAGCCCUCGAAGGACUGAACGACUCUACCCUUGGUGAUCCCAAGCAGCGCAUCAUGCUUGAGAGCGUUUCUCCGACACUGCCCACGCAAGUACCUGAGGUAGCUAAGGUGCAUGCCAUGUUGGUCGGGCUUAUUGACCUUUCCAAGAAAUUGGAGGUUGGCCAGACUGAGUUCACGAAUGGAUCCGAGCGAGAUGAACAUGUUGCUGCUGAAGUCGGGCUUAAAAUUAAGUCGGGCCACGAAGUUUCCGAGGCUGCAAUUAGGGACUUAUCUGACCUAGACAAGAAGUGUGCUGACAUGGAGGUGCAGGAAGCAGCGCUUAAGGUGCAGCUUGAGGAGGCUAUCGCCAGUUUGCAGAAGCUUAAACUAGAGAGGGAACAACGCUGA
rnacentral:rRNA from 1 species